GUGAUUUGAGAAUGGGUGGGUGGUUCUCUGAUCUGUGACUAGAUCAGAGAAGGUAAGAGGUUAGGGGAUAAUAGUAACCUGAAGAGUUAGGUACAGGCCUGAUAUGAUGGGUUCAUGAUGCUACCAAGCUAACAGUCAUCGACUUGUCACGUUUCUAAUAUUAUUUUGUGAAAGGAAGGAGAAGGGAGGAGGAGCUAGAAUUUAUUGAGCCCCAGAUACAUGCGAGCCCCUGCACUGAGACUACUGCUCUUUAGAUAGUAUGUCUACACCUCAUGAUCAUGCUGGGAAGUAGAUAUUUACAGAGGGGGAAACUGAGGUUCAGAGAGGUUAAGUAACUCACUCAAGCUCACACAGCUAGAAAGUAGUCCAUCCAGAAUCAAAUCUGGGUUUGUCUGAUCCAAAGCCAGUGCUUCGAGGGCCUCCGUACUUACCUACUCCACCUGCUGCCUCAUGGAAACACCCCUCUUUCCAGCUCCUGUGUUUAUGGAAGUUAUGUGUCAUGUUCUGUUACCGAUCAAUUAGCAGGAAGGGUGGCCUUACCCAAUCCGAGGAAUUGAGGCUCAGUGGGGUGUUCUUUUUGGUUCUAGAAUUCAAGAUCAUGGAAAACUGCCAGAAGGAAAUGGGUCUUCUCCUCUCCCAAAUGGUCCCAUAACUAGUCUGGCCACCUUGAGCCAUCCAAGAGGAGAAUGUGGUCAGGGACCGUGACUCAGCUUAAGAAGCUACAUUUAUAUCUAUAUCUACACACAUGUUCUACCGACUAUGACCACACCACCAUGGCCCAUGCCCAUACACCCACGUGUGAACCAAGAGGCAGGUAAUGUGCCGAUGACGACGUCUACAAGGUUUGAGGGAGGCACCUCUCAAAACCGAAUCAUCAUGCUUGCAAACUACAAAAGACUCUUUCUUGGUACUUUUCUUGUUUGAAAGUACCUACAUUUUGGGGCUCAAGACUCAGAAAGUCAGAGUGGAGAGUUGGGUGCCAUGCUCCAUUCUGCUUUUCCUGAAGUGCCUCAAAUGCUAGGCAGAGUCCCUGCACUCUCCGUGAUAGGAAUCUCCUCUGUGGCCAAAAUUGGGCCUCCGUUUUUUUCACCGCAGGAAUAUACAUGUCCUCAUGGCCGUCUCCUGCCUGGGCAGCAGCGAAGCCUCCCCAGACUGCUCUGCCCUGUGGAAGAAAAGGCCUAGGUCCUGCUGUUUUCCCAGUCUCCUUUCCUGGGAGGUGGCCAUGACUCGCUCCCAUUAACCUGGGCAGAGGCUGUUUCCCAUCUCUUCCUGCAUGAGUUACUUCAUGGAGCCUCGGAGGAGGAGCCCUGGACUCUGCUCGCCUGGGAUUCCUGCUGUUCUACCCACUGUCCACCCAGAAGCUCCCUUCCCCGGGUCUGACAUGACUUUCUCUUCUGAGCCAGGCCCAGCAGGAAGGAUGCGUUUGUGUUCGGCCCUGCAUUCCUGCAGUGUCCCUCGGGUGUGUGGCUGGAAAUGAUUUGUGUAAGGCACUCAGCCAGCCUCCCUUUUAAUCACUCCCAUACUCACAGACAGAGGGAAUCCCAGCCCCUCACCCAGGAGAGGGAAGGAACCUCCUUCAUUUUGACAGGGCCUCCCUCCGUGGUGGGGUAAGCAGUGAUUCUGGUCUCCAGGAAAGAUGCUUCCAAGAGCCUCUUUCUCUGAGGCCUAAUUAUGAAAUCGAUAUCUUCAGGAACCCCUCCUCCUUCCCUGGAGCUUCUGCAGGCAGACACUGCCCAGAUAAUGUUCAAACAUGCAUUGACCCGGCAGGGCUUCCUGAGCACCACUCUGGCUGGGGAGGAGGAUGGGAUCAGCUGGGCCUGGAAGAAUGGGCAGGGUUUGCUUAGGACGUUUCGGGGAGGCAGAUGGUGUAAGCUGGGGAUGGGGUGAGGAAGGGAGAGAGUUAGGGGCAGCUUGAGGGAAAUAGGGGUGUUUGUUGGGGAAGAGUGAGUGAUGACUGGUCAGAGUCCCAACAGCAAACAGAGGACACAAUUAAAAUGGGAUAGUUCCAGGAUAGUUUAUUUGCAUAGGUGUGAUCACAGGGAAACCACAAAGAAUAGUGCAGUUAACUGGUCUUAGUAAGAGCCAAGGUGUUAUCACCUCUAGGCACAAAGAGACAAAGACCAGAACAGAGAGUCCUGCAGAGCAACUUGACUUGGAAGGAACAGAAGACUUCAGUCCAGGGGCACAGUAAGCUGGAGGCAACCUUGCAGGGAGAGACCCAGGCAGAGCUGGAUUUGUAGUGACGCUGGCGAAGUUUAAGCUUCAGGAUCCCACGCUUGCACAGGUGACUUCCAAAGCCGGGAGGAGUUCUAGCGAUGUAUUCAUAUGUCACACAUUUUGUAAAUUUUGCAAAAGUAAGAUAGUUUCAUCCCAGUUUCCCUCCACUAUACAUAUCUCAUGGUUGGGUGGCUUUGGAGUCGUUGCGGGCAUUUUUAGGAUCUGGUUAAGGGGGAGAUGGGUUUUGGUUUGGUUGGGUAUAUGUAAGUUGCUCACAGCCACUUUUUUUUUUCUUUAGGAUGGAGUCUCACUCUGUCACCCAGGCUGGAGUGCAAUGGUGCAAUCUCAGCUCACUGCAACCUCCGCCUCCCGGGUUCAAGUGAUUCUCUUGCCUCAGCCUCCCGAGUAGCUGGGAUUACAGGUGUGCACCACCAUAGCCAGCUAAUUCUUGUAUUUUUAGUAGAGAUGAGGUUUUACCAUGUUGUCCAGGCUGGUCUCGAUCUCCUGACUUCAAGUGAUCCGCCCACCUCGGCCUCCCAAAGUGUUGGGAUUAUAGGCAUGAGCCACUGCACCCAGCCCACAGUCACUUCUGAAUAUACUUAAUUCAUCACUAGCUGUCCUGAUGUCAAAAUGGCUUUCAGGAAUACUCUCACCUCCAACUCACCUGGUGUCAUGACUUGAAGGUGAUGACAGGUCAUAUUGCAAUAUGUAUGUGGUUAGUGGAAGAGAACAGAGGUUUGUAAGGUAUGGAACCAGAAGAUAGCCUAUGGCAAAUUCUUCCCAUCAUCAGACGUACAAUUUUAAGUGGAGAAUUCAGUUCUCUUGGUCAGAAACAUAAUGUAGUACAUGCAACUCUAAAUACACCAUACUAUUUUCUCUUAAAAUGGAAUCUCACCCUUCAGAAAUUCUUAAACAUCUGUGUUUGUAGCCUAUAAGCAUAAUAACAUUUCAGAUCGUACCAAAAGUAGUAAUUUUUUAAGAAGAAGAAAGAAAAGGCAGGUAGAAAUAAAGGCCCUUGGACCAGCUGGUAAUCUUAUUGUUAAAGGAAAGUAAAACAUAUUAACUCACUGGGAAAAGCUUUACAUUUCUUGCUACUUUGAUAAAAAAUGCUGACAUCUUUGAAGCUGUCUUAGAUUGGGUUCCCUGGAGGCUGACCAUGAAAUGGAAAGUUGUGGGCCGGAGGCUUACCGUGGAGUGCUCUCAGGAGACAUAUGUGUGAGGAAAUGAGGAUGGCAGGAUUGGGAGAAGCUGAUCAGAAAUAUGGCCUCAGCCAAUCUGAUAUCCCCAGCAGCUGAAGGAUGGCUGUGUUGGCCUGAAGAGGGGAUCUGUGCGGUGGCCACAGCUCCCUCCACAGAUGAUAACGUAGGUCUCAUGAUACAUCACUACAAUGGGGACACCAAAGACAAACUGACUUCUCAUGUACAUCACUGCAAUGGGGACACCAAAGACAAAUGGACUUCUCAUGAUACAUCACUACAAUGGGGACACCAAAGACAAACUGACUUAUAAGUGUCAU
rnacentral:lncRNA from 10 species